GGGGGAGGCCGGAUCCUGGGCUGUGUCCCCCCAUGCUUGGGUUCCAGGGCCUGCGCUGUUGGAUUCACGCUCCAGGCCAUGCAGUCUCCU
rnacentral:pre_miRNA from 1 species